rnacentral:rRNA from 1 species
GACAGAGGUGCCAAGCGUUAGGCGGAAUCACUGGGCUUAAAGCGUGUGUAGGCGGAUUUGUAAGUACCUUGUGAAAUCCCACGGCUCAACCGUGGAACUGCUCGGUAUACUGCUUAUCUUGAGCCACUUAGGGGCUACCGGAACAAAUGGUGGAGCGGUGAAAUGCGUAGAUAUCAUUUGGAACGCCAAUGGUGAAAACAGGUAGCUGGGAGUGUGCUGACGCUGAGACACGAAAGCCAGGGGGAGCGAACGGG